rnacentral:sRNA from 1 species
GACGAGGGGCAGCGGAGGACCCCGCAGGGCAUCGGGCUCCUGGCCAAGACCCCGCUGAGCCGCCCAGUCAAGAGAAACAACGCCAAGUACCGGCGCAUCCAAACUUUGAUCUACGACGCCCUGGAGAGACCGCGGGGCUGGGCGCUGCUUUACCACGCGUUGGUGUUCCUGAUUGUCCUGGGGUGCUUGAUUCUGGCUGUCCUGACCACAUUCAAGGAGUAUGAGACUGUCUCGGGAGACUGGCUUCUGUUACUGGAGACAUUUGCUAUUUUCAUCUUUGGAGCCGAGUUUGCUUUGAGGAUCUGGGCUGCUGGAUGUUGCUGCCGAUACAAAGGCUGGCGGGGCCGACUGAAGUUUGCCAGGAAGCCCCUGUGCAUGUUGGACAUCUUUGUGCUGAUUGCCUCUGUGCCAGUGGUUGCUGUGGGAAACCAAGGCAAUGUUCUGGCCACCUCCCUGCGAAGCCUGCGCUUCCUGCAGAUCCUGCGCAUGCUGCGGAUGGACCGGAGAGGCGGCACCUGGAAGCUUCUGGGCUCAGCCAUCUGUGCCCACAGCAAAGAACUCAUCACGGCCUGGUACAUCGGUUUCCUGACACUCAUCCUUUCUUCAUUUCUUGUCUACCUGGUUGAGAAAGACGUCCCAGAGGUGGAUGCACAAGGAGAGGAGAUGAAAGAGGAGUUUGAGACCUAUGCAGAUGCCCUGUGGUGGGGCCUGAUCACACUGGCCACCAUUGGCUAUGGAGACAAGACACCCAAAACGUGGGAAGGCCGUCUGAUUGCCGCCACCUUUUCCUUAAUUGGCGUCUCCUUUUUUGCCCUUCCAGCGGGCAUCCUGGGGUCCGGGCUGGCCCUCAAGGUGCAGGAGCAACACCGUCAGAAGCACUUUGAGAAAAGGAGGAAGCCAGCUGCUGAGCUCAUUCAGGCUGCCUGGAGGUAUUAUGCUACCAACCCCAACAGGAUUGACCUGGUGGCGACAUGGAGAUUUUAUGAAUCAGUGGUCUCUUUUCCUUUCUUCAGGAAAGAACAGCUGGAGGCAGCAUCCAGCCAAAAGCUGGGUCUCUUGGAUCGGGUUCGCCUUUCUAAUCCUCGUGGUAGCAAUACUAAAGGAAAGCUAUUUACCCCUCUGAAUGUAGAUGCCAUAGAAGAAAGUCCUUCUAAAGAACCAAAGCCUGUUGGCUUAAACAAUAAAGAGCGUUUCCGCACGGCCUUCCGCAUGAAAGCCUACGCUUUCUGGCAGAGUUCUGAAGGUAAUGCCUUUUUAUCUCCCUCCCUGUCUCUUCCACUUCUUCCUCCCCCAAGUCCACUUCCUUCCUCACCUCUCCCUUUGCCCACUUAAGAAUCUUUGACUCCACAAGGUAACUCUCUCCCUUCCCUCGACAAGCCAACUUCUUGCUUCCCUACCUCCUCCUGUCCCUUGGGCUGAGGCAUUGUGAUGUAUUCCCAGGAGUCUAGGGCUGCAGGCUCCCAAGUUAGGAGCCUGGAAACCUGUCACCUUGGUUUCUAAGGGUCCGCCCCGACCCCCCGCCCCAUGAUUGGAUUGUUAUGGAGGUCAACUUGAAGGAUGGGGCAGUGCCAGGUGCAAAGCAAUUUAGAGACCAGGGCACGGGAAGAGUGGCAGAAAAGCGCCCUCUAGAGGCUGUAGGAGCCAUGGCCUCAUGUGCCUCUUUUACUUAUGCAAAGGGAGGACAUGCAGAAAAGCCUGGUUCCUCAGUGUCUGAGCCCACCCAGGCCCUCAAUCCUCAUUGUAUCAUUCAGUUCUCUCCAAGGCCUCUGAUGUGUGCGGCUCAGAAAGUGACCUCUCCAAGGUCACCAGGAUAGAGACUGACAGAGCAAAAGUCCCAGCUGAGGCCUGCACAGUGCGUGUUGUUUGCUGGCUUCUGUGUCCUUUGCUGGCUUCUGGCUCUGGGGGCCACUCUGGAACUGCGGAGCUCACUUCUCCUCCCUGCUAGCCUUUUCCCUCACUACCAGUCAUGAGCUGCGCACACUUUUGACUUGGACUUCUGGAUAAUAGAAUGAGGGUGCCAAGAAAGGCUGAACAGCAUCACAGCUUGAGAAUACUGUGGAGUCUUGCAACGUGGAAAUAAAGACUCUGGGGAUUGACACAUCCAGAGGCGUGGAAGGCUUUGACCGAACAGUGGGGUCCCCAAGCCUUUUCCAGGUCUGUGGCCUGCCGUUCAUAUGUGUGUCUCCCUCCCAGAUGCCGGGACAGGUGACCCCAUGGCGGAAGACAGGGGCUAUGGGAAUGACUUCCCCAUCGAAGACAUGAUCCCCACCCUGAAGGCCGCCAUCCGAGCCGUCAGAAUUCUACAAUUCCGUCUCUAUAAAAAAAAAUUCAAGGAGACUUUGAGGCCUUACGAUGUGAAGGAUGUGAUUGAGCAGUAUUCUGCCGGGCAUCUCGACAUGCUUUCCAGGAUAAAGUACCUUCAGACCAGAAUAGAUAUGAUUUUCACCCCUGGACCUCCCUCCACGCCAAAACACAAGAAGUCUCAGAAAGGGUCAGCAUUCACCUUCCCAUCCCAGCAAUCUCCCAGGAAUGAACCAUAUGUAGCCAGACCAUCCACAUCAGAAAUCGAAGACCAAAGCAUGAUGGGGAAGUUUGUAAAAGUUGAAAGACAGGUUCAGGACAUGGGGAAGAAGCUGGACUUCCUCGUGGAUAUGCACAUGCAACACAUGGAACGGUUGCAGGUGCAGGUCACGGAGUAUUGCCCAACCAAGGGCACCUCCUCGCCAGCUGAAGCAGAGAAGAAAGAGGACAACAGGUAUUCCGAUUUGAAAACCAUCAUCUGCAACUAUUCUGAGACAGGCCCCCCGGAACCACCCUACAGCUUCCACCAGGUGCCCAUUGACAAAGUCAGCCCUUAUGGGUUUUUUGCACAUGACCCUGUGAACCUGCCCCGAGGGGGACCCAGUUCUGGAAAGGUUCAGGCAACUCCUCCUUCCUCGGCAACAACGUAUGUGGAGAGGCCCACGGUCCUGCCUAUCUUGACUCUUCUCGACUCCCGAGUGAGCUGCCACUCCCAGGCUGACCUGCAGGGCCCCUACUCGGACCGAAUCUCCCCCCGGCAGAGACGUAGCAUCACGCGAGACAGCGACACACCUCUGUCCCUGAUGUCGGUCAACCACGAGGAGCUGGAGAGGUCUCCAAGUGGCUUCAGCAUCUCCCAGGACAGAGAUGAUUAUGUGUUCGGCCCCAAUGGGGGGUCGAGCUGGAUGAGGGAGAAGCGGUACCUCGCCGAGGGUGAGACGGACACAGACACCGACCCCUUCACGCCCAGCGGCUCCAUGCCUCUGUCGUCCACAGGGGAUGGGAUUUCUGAUUCAGUAUGGACCCCUUCCAAUAAGCCCAUUUAAAAGAGGUCACUGGCUGACCCCUCCUUGUAAUGUAGACAGACUUUGUAUAGUUCACUUACUCUCACACCCGACGCUUACCAGCGGGGACACCAAUGGCUGCAUCAAAUGCAUGCGUGU